rnacentral:lncRNA from 1 species
CCAGAUGCAGCGCCAAGAUGGCGGACCCAAAGAUAAAAAACCACAUUUACAAAACGCAAUAAGUUUCCGCAUUACCUCCGAUUGGCGGACCCAAAACAUGAACUUUGAACUUCUGCUUUGCGAUGCCAGAACAGUAGGUGGCGGUAUGCACCUACACUUUCUGACGGCAAAAUUUACAGAAGAAGAAGAACUCUCAGGAAGUUUGAAAAGAAGCAAGCCGUCCGCAUUCAUUCAAUCUCACCUCCGACCACUCAAACUAACCCUAACCCUGCAUUCCAUUGUUUCCAUCAUGGGAAAUCUAAGUGACGCUCUCAAAUUAACAGGAACAUUGCGCAGAAGAUAUGUCCUGGGCAAUGGACUGAGAAAACGGGCAGAGAUUUGGAGGUAUUUGUGCAUGCUUUAUAUUACAGUUGAAAAGUGUAUAACAGCUUUCCAAUGCUGUUACUUGUGGCGAACACCUUUUUGCUUGAGUUGAUGCGUGCCCGCAGUUGGAAUAAUGUCACAUGUCACACACAUUUUCUGUUGUUUUGAUUUAUUUACUCAUUCAUCAUUUUAUGUGCGCACCUCUCCUAAUCAACCCACCCAUUAAAUAGACAGGCACAAUAGCACCAUCUGCUGGCACAAAAAAUACAUAACAAUAAACUGCAAAACCCCAAUCUGGCUCCUACAAAGUGUAUGUGACAAGAUGAUUAACGUUUGCUUUUGUUAAAUCAGGGCUUCCCCAGCCAGGACUUCGGCUCAGACUGUGGCAUAUUCAUGUUGAUGGUAGGUCAUAACGAGCUGUAAUGCACAAAUAUUGUAUCUAGAAUAACUUUCCAACAUGGACUUUUUUAAAGUUAUCUCACAUGUUGUCUCAUAAUUUUUUUUUUAAAGUCUGCCAUGUACAUCGUUAUGGAGUCACAGUUUGACUACUCAGUUGUAAGUACUUUUCAACACGCAGUGUCAUCCUCAAGAUUGUAUUUUGUAUUGUGCACUAAAAUGAAGCACAAACAACAAUUUCAGCAUGACAUGCCUGUUUGGCGGCGAUGGUGGUGCCUGUUGCUCCUGGAGAACAAUUCUUUGAACAGGUAGACAGUUUAAGUAAACUAGAUGUCCUAAUUAACUGGAAGACAAUCAAUAUAUUGUACUUAAAGACAUAUUGUCAUUACAGUUGUGGGAAAAUCUUCGCCCACUGGACCAAAGAAUGUCAAGAGCUCAUUGCUGGAAAGCAUACUCCGGUCUUCAGUCUAAAGAGGAAGGCAGAGCAGCAGGACAUAGAGGUUAGAAAAUUGCCUUGUAAAAACAGUAUUAUCUCAGUGGGAGUCCUUCAAAAUGCACACAGUUGUAUGGAUCAACAUUGUCUCGAUGUAAUUGGUAAUUGAUGUUACUUUUCAAAUUGCCUUGUCAAGGAAACCAUGACGCAGACGGUAUCGGAUGUCCAAAGAAUGUGCAUGGCAGAUUCAAUGCAAUUCUGUGUCUACCAGACAUCGAACAACACAGGAGAGAGGUGUGUUGCAGACUCAAUUUAAUAAAUGCAAUUAUCGGGGCCUAUUCAGUGAUUUUCCAUGAAGUGACCUCUUUUACAUAUAGUUUAAAUGCACGAAUCAUGCAGGAAAAUUAUUUAUACAUUCAAAUGUGCUGCAGAGGUAUAAUCAAUUGGACAGCGUGUUUGUUUAAUAUUAUGUUUGUCUCUCAUUUGAUCAGAUUGCUUUACCCUGAGGUAAACGUCAUAAAAUGGGUCCAGUGCAAGACGUGCAGGGGCUGGCUGCAUCAGGAUUGUGCUGGGAUUGAAAUGGAU